GAUGAGCGCUGGCGGCGUGCCUAAUACAUGCAAGUCGAGCGAACGGACGAGAAGCUUGCUUCUCUGAUGUUAGCGGCGGACGGGUGAGUAACACGUGGAUAACCUACCUAUAAGACUGGGAUAACUUCGGGAAACCGGAGCUAAUACCGGAUGAUAUUUUGAACCGCAUGGUUCAAAAGUGAAAGACGGUCUUGCUGUCACUUAUAGAUGGAUCCGCGCUGCAUUAGCUAGUUGGUAAGGUAACGGCUUACCAAGGCAACGAUGCAUAGCCGACCUGAGAGGGUGAUAGGCCACACUGGAACUGAGACACGGUCCAGACGCCGACGGGAGGCAGCGUAGGGAAUCUUCCGCAAUGGGCGAAAGCCUGACGGAGCAACGCCGCGUGAGUGAUGAAGGUCUUCGGAUCGUAAAACUCUGUUAUUAGGGAAGAACAUAUGUGUAAGUAACUGUGCACAUCUUGACGGUACCUAAUCAGAAAGCCACGGCUAACUACGUG
rnacentral:rRNA from 1 species